rnacentral:rRNA from 1 species
AUGCCCAGCUUGCUGGGUUGAUUAGUGGCGAACGGGUGAGUAAUACGUGAGUAACCUGCCCUUGACUCUGGGAUAAGCCUGGGAAACUGGGUCUAAUACUGGAUACUACCUUUCAUCGCAUGGUGGGGGGUGGAAAGGGUUUUACUGGUUUUGGAUGGGCUCACGGCCUAUCAGCUUGUUGGUGGGGUAAUGGCUCACCAAGGCGACGACGGGUAGCCGGCCUGAGAGGGUGACCGGCCACACUGGGACUGAGACACGGCCCAGACUCCUACGGGAGGCAGCAGUGGGGAAUAUUGCACAAUGGGCGAAAGCCUGAUGCAGCGACGCCGCGUGAGGGAUGACGGCCUUCGGGUUGUAAACCUCUUUCAGUAGGGAAGAAGCGAAAGUGACGGUACCUGCAGAAGAAGCGCCGGCUAACUACGUGCCAGCAGCCGCGGUAAUACGUAGGGCGCAAGCGUUGUCCGGAAUUAUUGGGCGUAAAGAGCUCGUAGGCGGUUUGUCGCGUCUGCUGUGAAAGCCCGGGGCUCAACCCCGGGUCUGCAGUGGGUACGGGCAGACUAGAGUGCAGUAGGGGAGACUGGAAUUCCUGGUGUAGCGGUGAAAUGCGCAGAUAUCAGGAGGAACACCGAUGGCGAAGGCAGGUCUCUGGGCUGUUACUGACGCUGAGGAGCGAAAGCAUGGGGAGCGAACAGGAUUAGAUACCCUGGUAGUCCAUGCCGUAAACGUUG